UGUGUGUGUGUGUGUGAGUGAGUGAGUGAGAGAGAGAGAAAGUGACAGUUGAGAAUCAAAUUCAUGAACAUUCCGCCAUUUUAAGUCUAUGGGAUUUUCUUUGCCUGCUUUUUCGUCCGCUGUGCGAACAUCGUAGGUCCGAUCGCUUAGAAAAGAUACAGCACUCUUCUCCUCAAUGAGCCGGUCGAUUUGACAUCUCAUUCAUGGGUCUGUGAUAAACGGUGAAUGAACUUAACUCAUCUUUAUUUUUUCUGUGUUUUCUCUGCAGUCUUUCCUUGUGUGAUAUUACACAGAAAGGCUUUGCUGCUCUGAGUUCAGCUCUGAGAUCAAACCCCUCACACCUGACAGAACUGGAUCUGAGCUGUAAUACACCAGGAGACUCAGGAGUGAAGCUGCUUUCUGCUCUACUGGAGGAUCCACACUGUAAACUGCAGAAACUACGGCUGUGUUUCUGCAGUAUUGGAGAGGAAGGCUGUGCUGCUCUGAUUUCAGCUCUGAGAUCAAACUCCUCACACCUGACAGAACUGGAUCUGAGAUAUAAUAAUCCAGGAGACUCAGGAGAGAAGCUGCGCUCUGCUCUACUGGAGGAUCCACACUGUAAACUGAAGAAACUACAUAUUUGACAGGGAAACUCCACAAGCUCCAAACAAGUGAAUCAAAACAACACGUCCUGAACAAGACUGUCUCCUGGACAUUAAUGCUGAUACUGAUCCAGCAGUUUCAUAUGUGAAGGAUUUUGUUAUUAAUUUUCAUUCAGCCUACAUUUUUUUCCAGUCUCAUGGGAACAUUUUUUAAAAUAAGUAGAUUGGACAUAUUAACUGCACUGCAAAUGUUUAGUGUGAAAUUACAGUAUAUUCCAGGUUAAUAACUGCAUGACUUUCACAGUAAUUUCACAGCGGGACUUCUCUUGUAUCUAACUGCACUCUCAGAAAUUUAUUGUAAACAAACAGCAUCAUACUGUGUUUCUACAGUUCAUAUGUACGAUGAAGGUUCCCAGUAUUACUUGUUGGUUUUAUUUAUGCUGUUGAACUUGUUUUUUUGUUUUGUUUUUUUGGUUCACUUUGAGCAGUUUGUGUUGUUUAUUUUGUAAUGUUGGUUUAUGAUGUAAGUGUUGUUUUUAUUUGUUGAGUGUUACUGUUGUUGUGAUUUGUAUGUCAAGUAUUUUUGUCACAUCUUUCAAAGAAGUUUCUCAGCAGGUGGUUCAUUAUUGUGAAAAAUCCAUCCACAAAUAUUUAUGAAUAUGAAACAAGUUAUUGGUUAAUCCUUUUAAGUAAUGCUAAAAUAAAAUCUUUGUUUAUCCGAAGAAUAUUCAUAUUCUAGUUUUUCAUAAUUUUAACAAAUGUUUUCAUUUGUCACACUUCUGACAUGACUAGAUCAGAAAUUUGAAUAUGAAUAUGCGAGGUCAAAUAACCCUAACAAAUACUAAUCAAUAAUCACCAUUAUGGUGACUUCAAAGCAAUUACAGUAGUAAACAACUAAAUUUCUCACAGUUGCACAGUGAAAGACAGCUUUAUAAUGUGAAUUCACAGUAAAACAAGAGCAGUAAAUUACUGUGAUGUUAGCAUCAUUCUGCUGUUCAUUCAGUCAUUUGUAAGAAAAUUACCCAGCAUGCAUUGAUUUCACAUUUCUGACUACAGUAAUAUAUUGUAAAAUAAUACUCUAAUCCUGUAAAUUCCCGGCAAUUUUUUACAGUGAAGAUAGAUAGAUAGACUUUGUAUAUGUUAGGAUUUUGUAUAUUGUGAUUAUGUAGUUGUAAUGAAAUUCAUGGCCAUAUUGAGGUCCCCCACUUAAAAUUUCCAAUUAAUCAUUUAUUUAUUUUUUGUUUUGUUGAUUGUUUGUUUUUUGUAUCUUCAUGAAAAUUGUUUAUAUUGUUAAUACGUAGUAAGCAUGGAAAUCAUGACAUAACUUAGCCUUUUUUACUUAAGUGGGUUUAACGUAUUUUUCUAAAUACAGUACAUUAUAAUAUAAGCCUGAAGAUGAUAAGAAAAUUCAAUUUAAUUCUAGAAAUAGUAUAUGACAGUGUCAUGGUAUAGUUUCAGUCCUGAUGCAGCCUCAAGAGGGAGUCAUGAGAUAAGAUCACAGUUUACCAGCAGAGCGCUCGAGUCUCAAGGAGAGGGUUUGACAUUAAACAUACUGUAAUAAAUAAAUGAAUUAUGUAAAAUAUGAAUGAUAUAAAAAUAGAUCUCUAUUUUAAAAUAGAUCUAACUAUGUCCCCCCAGGGAUUUCACAAAUCUCUUAAUUUUAUAAUAACUACUAAAAAUCUCAAAUCAGUAGGCCUAAUAUAGUACAGUGAUUCCUGGCUCUUUUUAAAGGAUUGAGCCACAAAACCAGCGAUUUAAUUUGUGCAUAUAGACUAUAUAUAAAAGUAUAAAUAAAAAUGUUGCAGAUAAAAUAUGAACAUUUAUUGCUUAAAUACGCACUAAAGCACAUUAAUAAUAAUAUUUGCUGUAGGUUAGAUUUAAUAACAGCUGUUUUAGUAAACACAAACAUUUAAAAUAGGCCUAUAUGCAAAAAAUAAAUAAAUAAAAAUAUUGUUUCAGAAAGGUUUUUAUUCCCAUUAUCCACACAUAAAACCCCAGUU